AGAGAUCUGGUUAAACCUUGUGAAAAGAGGGGAAUGGAAGUCAGAAAAAAAUUAUGUGAACGAGAAGCAAAGGAAACUCUCUUCCUUGGAUCAAGAGUCCCUGCUAAGGAGACCAUCCAUUCAACUGGUUUGAUCAAUGAGCCAUUACAGAGAAUUGCAGCAUAAGGAAUAGAUCACUAAGAUUCACUUGUUAGCUGCCUGGUGGAUGAGGAAAAGGCUGUGGAGGUGUCUACCUAGACUUCAGCAAAGCCUUUGACACUAUCUCCCACAGAAUUCUCCUGGGAAAACUGGCAGCCCAUGACUUGGACAGGUCGUUCAUUCAGAGGAAAAAGAUUUAGAUAUGGAUGGG